rnacentral:rRNA from 1 species
UACAGAGGGGGCAAGCGUUGUUCGGAAUUACUGGGCGUAAAGGGCGCGUAGGCGGCCUUCUAAGUCGAACGUGAAAUCCCUGGGCUCAACCCAGGAACUGCGUCCGAUACUGGAAGGCUUGAAUCCGGGAGAGGGAUGCGGAAUUCCAGGUGUAGCGGUGAAAUGCGUAGAUAUCGGGAGGAGUACCGAUGGCGAAGGCAGGUCUCUGGGCUAUAACUGACGCUCAUGCACGAAAGCGUGGGGAGCAAACAGG